UAGUCCACGCCGUAAACGAUGAAUGCUAGGUGUUGGAGGGUUUCCACCCUUCAGUGCCGCAGCUAACGCAAUAAGCAUUCCGCCUGGGGAGUACGACCGCAAGGUUGAAACUCAAAGGAAUUGACGGGGGCCCGCACAAGCGGUGGAGCAUGUGGUUUAAUUCGAAGCAACGCGAAGAACCUUACCAGGUCUUGACAUCUUCUGCCAACCUAAGAGAUUAGGCGUUCCCUUCGGGGACAGAAUGAC
rnacentral:rRNA from 1 species